rnacentral:rRNA from 1 species
CCUACGGGAGGCAGCAGUGAGGAAUAUUGGUCAAUGGUCGGGAGACUGAACCAGCCAAGCCGCGUGAGGGAUGAAGGUACAGAGGAUGGUAAACCUCUUUUGUCAGGGAACAAAGGCGGGGAAGUGUCCACGGAUGAGUGUACCUGAAGAAAAAGGAUCGGCUAACUCCGUGCCAGCAGCCGCGGUAAGACGGAGUCUGCGAGCGUUAUCCGGAUUUCUUGGGUUUAAAGGGUGCGCCGUGGGUCUGUUACUUCAGCGGGCAAACCCCGGGGCUCACCCCCGGACCGCCGUUGAAACGGGCAGUCUCGAGUUGGCGCGACGUCUGCGGAAUGCGCGGUGUAGCGGUGAUAUGCAUAGCUCUCGCGC